rnacentral:rRNA from 1 species
GUAGCUGGUCUGAGAGGAUGACCAGCCACACUGGAACUGAGACACGGUCCAGACUCCUACGGGAGGCAGCAGUGGGGAAUAUUGGACAAUGGGGGCAACCCUGAUCCAGCAAUGCCGCGUGUGUGAAGAAGGCCUGAGGGUUGUAAAGCACUUUCAGUGGGGAGGAGGAUUCAUAGGUUAAGAGCUGAUKAAUUGGACGUUACCCACAGAAGAAGCACCGGCUAACUCCGUGCCAGCAGCCGCGGUAAUACGGAGGGUGCAAGCGUUAAUCGGAAUUACUGGGCGUAAAGGGUGCGUAGGUGGUUAAUUAAGUUAUCUGUGAAAUCCCCGGGCUCAACCUGGGCAGGUCAGAUAAUACUGGUUAACUCGAGUGUGG